rnacentral:misc_RNA from 1 species
UUCCGCCUUGGCGCCCUCGGCCGCGGGGGCAAUGUUUUUGUUUUCGUUCUACGUUCAGGUGUUGGGUGGCGACGUAUUAACCGUCGAUAACCAGCUGAAGCAGCUCAAGUUCUCGAGUGGAACGAGGUUGACCGUGCGCAGUGGCAGCCGUUGACAACAAAAACAAUGUAUGCACUCAGCUUCGCCGGAUGAGUGCCGGCGUCGAUCGCGAACCGCCAGAGCCGCCAAAUACCUCUCGUACAUCUCCAAGAACACCAAGAACAGGAGGUAUUCAUAAAGGUCUGAACCACGCGAGGAUCGUCUCGAAGCAUGGUAGCCUCAACAGACGCUUGCCGCCACACGCGAGGAGAAAGCAGGAGGCCCGAAGUUUGAAUGUGAAGAGGAGGUGCGAAGAGCUGGCCCUCACUUUUUCAAGGCAGCCGCAGAACACUACGAGCCCCGAAUCACUGCCGCGGCUGACUCACGCGGAUGCUGUGCUGCACCCUGCACUGCACAUGGUUCGAAGCACACUUCAGGGGACCAGUGCAUGCCCCUGAUGCAUCGUCGCGAAGCACUGUAUGGCUCUCUGCACGCUAGAAUGGGGGCUGUCGUUGAUGCUCGCAGAGGCGUCGCCCACAACUAAGCAGACGACCAAAGUCCUGAGCAGGUCCCGGGGAUCAUGGCAUCGAUGAGCUCGCUUUCGCCUUGUCCAAGGUAGCAGCGGAACACUACGGGCAGGCCCGGAGUCACCGCACCGGCUGGCUCACGGGCGUCGUCCUGUACUCUGCACGGCACUGCGUGUGGCUUAAUCGGCCAAGCAGAGGGUCACUGCAUGACCUUUAUGAGGCGUCGCUAGCCAUUGUUUCAAAUCGUCCUGAUUCAUGGGCCAAGCCUUUCAAGACUGCACUCUUAGGCCCAGUCCUUUUUGGUGGAUCGGAUCUUGCCAUCUUCCCCUCUCGUGGCUUCCUGUUGUACUUAAAUAAAUUGUCAUAUUUUUUUCUUAUGGUGGUGCAUACGUUUUGCCACACUUCACAAAAACAGUGUGGUGAAUCCAUGCCGCAGAUUACUGUGAAACGUGCAGGAAGGGUAAACUCCGAAAAGGUUUAUGGAAAGAAGAUAGACAUCCCCCAUUAAUUUUUUCUGGACACUCUAAGCGUGCUAUCUACGCAGU